rnacentral:tRNA from 2 species
GCCCUCAUAGCUCAGUGGUAGAGCAGCUGUUUUGUAAACAGCCGGUCGUUGGUUCAAAUCCGACUGAGGGCU